GGUAGGUUAAUGCGGUUUCAAAUCAUUUUUGACGAUUUUUGUUGAUUGCAUCGAAAUCUCAUCUAUUACGUCAUUUUCGAAACUAUACGAAUUUUGAUUGGCUAAAUCGGACGUUGGGAGAAUUUGCUAUGGAGUGGUGAUUUUGUGGCUACACCGAGAUCACAGAUUUAUCAACUUGUUGUUUUUCGACAACAUCAUUGCGACAUUAACAAUAUCUUCAAACGUGACCGUUGUUCCCUUGAACACUUACAGUUUUGAGUAAGAAAAUCGCCAAAAACUAAGAUUCGUCAACGUCCAUGUUUAGCUUGUCACGUCACACUCAUUAUCAUCAGCUGUUGAGCACCUUGUCAAAGAAGUCGGCACAUGGAAAUCACAAUGGAAAGGAGGAUUUUGCAUACAUUUUGAGAAUUUGUAUUCACUGGUUUUUUUUACUGCUUCCAAGUGACUUGACAUGUAGGAAGUCUGCAUUAUCAUGAUUUUAAGAUGAAUGAGAAACAAUGGCUACUUCCAAUACAAUAGCACAUUUGAUAAAAUGAAUAAGACACUAGGACUGCACUUGUCAUUCUAAGGAAGAUCAACAAAUGAAACACAAACAAGGAUAUUAUUUUCAUAUUAGAUUCCUGUACAUGAGAUAUAAAGAGAAAAUGAAUUUUCCUGAAAAGACUCUUUACUUAUACAUAUGUGUAACAAAAUGAAUGGAAUCAAGACUGUUUUAACUGUGCUAAAAGGAAUACAAAUUAGAAGUUAAUUGACUGUAUUAAAAAUAAGUGAGAAAAAAAUUUGCUGUAUGAAAAAGCAGGUUCAACAAAAGGAAAUAAGUUGAAAUGAAUGAAUAACUAACUGCAAUGAUUCUGGAACAUGUGAUUAAUUCAUUGUCAUUAAAGGAAAAAUUUAUAAGAAAGUGGAAUACAUAUAGUAUGUGAUAUUGUGUCAUAAUUAUGAUCACUGCGGAGAGGAUGUUUCACAGAACUUUUACUUCAUAAAUGUGUCACUGUGGACAAAUUGUGAUUUCAUUCGGUGGAUAAAGUAUAUUUAGCUGUGCUUCAUGGAAUAUUAAAAUCAAAAUUAUUAAUAUUGUUUAUUAAUAAUAAUGUGAAACAAAAGCAAAAGUAUUAUGAAUGAUGAAAUGUUUUCACAUACAAAUUAGCAAAUAGAUUCAUCAAUAGGAUCACCCAGUCCCUAAUUUUUAUGAUUGUGAAACAUGUUUUAUAACUAAAACAAAAAAAUCUUAUGUUAUUUGGUUAUGAUGGUAAGUUUUGUGACACAUAGAAAAACAUACAUUUUGUAGCACAUGAAGUAAAAUAAGUCAUGUUGGCUGCAUUUAAUACACAAUUUCAAAUCAAUCAAUCAGUGAAUGUAUAUAUUUUAAAUAACUUGGGUUAAGUGAAACUACUUUGAGAUUGCCCUGUAGUGUUUUCUGUCAGACACUGACCAUAUAUUCCCUUAUAAAAACAUUCACUCCACCUUUUUAAGAAAGUACCAAAUAAUGCUUAUUGAAGAGCAAUUAUCAAUAAUUCAAUUAUCUAAUUACAUGAAGCUAAAAAAGAUGAUCAAUAUUAUAACUUUAACUUUUCAACAUGGUUUAAACUGAUGUCUGCUAGUUUUAUGCUGUUUAUC